UCGUAACAAGGUUUCCGUAGGUGAACCUGCGGAAGGAUCAUUACCGAGUGAGGGCCCUCUGGGUCCAACCUCCCACCCGUGUCUAUCGUACCUUGUUGCUUCGGCGGGCCCGCCGUUUCGACGGCCGCCGGGGAGGCCUUGCGCCCCCGGGCCCGCGCCCGCCGAAGACCCCAACAUGAACGCUGUUCUGAAAGUAUGCAGUCUGAGUUGAUUAUCGUAAUCAGUUAAAACUUUCAACAACGGAUCUCUUGGUUCCGGCAUCGAUGAAGAACGCAGCGAAAUGCGAUAAGUAAUGUGAAUUGCAGAAUUCAGUGAAUCAUCGAGUCUUUGAACGCACAUUGCGCCCCCUGGUAUUCCGGGGGGCAUGCCUGUCCGAGCGUCAUUGCUGCCCUCAAGCACGGCUUGUGUGUUGGGCCCCCGUCCCCCUCUCCCGGGGGACGGGCCCGAAAGGCAGCGGCGGCACCGCGUCCGGUCCUCGAGCGUAUGGGGCUUUGUCACCUGCUCUGUAGGCCCGGCCGGCGCCAGCCGACACCCAACUUUAUUUUUCUAAGGUUGACCUCGGAUCAGGUAGGGAUACCCGCUGAACUUAAGC
rnacentral:misc_RNA from 1 species